rnacentral:lncRNA from 1 species
GUGGGGAGCCCAGCCCCGCCUCUGGGCGAACCCGGCGCUGAGGGGCACCCGAGGGGGCGACGACCCGGGGCGCUGGAGCCCGAGGCGCAACAGGAGAGGAAUCCCAUGAGGGCACCACCGCACCGGCCGCCGUCUACCGACCUGGAGAGAGGUCUACAGGUCCGGCUGGGGUGGCUGCGGAGUUCCUGGGAGGUGAGGGCCCCCAGGGCAGCAGGGGUGGGAGCGGGCCCGAGGCCACCUUGCGUUUCUUGCGGACUCAAGCUUUGCCAUCUUCUGCCUGCUCGGGGGGCCUCCGCCGGCCCCGCCCGCACUGCUCUAUCUUUAGGCUCUCCUUCUCUGGUGAUGCCCCUUGCCGACCACCUUUUCUAGUUCCUGUCACCGCCAACCCUUCCCUGGUCCCCAACCCAAGCUCGCCCUUCCCUAGUUCCUACCCUCUCUGCACCCCCUUCCCUGACCCCCGCCCUCCCUCCCCUCCCAGCCUUCCCUGGUCCUCACCCCACUGCACGUCUUUCCCUGGUCCCCCACUCCUGCUCCUUCGCCUUGGCCCCCAUCCCCAACUCUUGUCCCCUUCGUCCCCCUCUUUUCCCCCUUCGGCUCCCUUCCCCCCUCCUCUGCCCCCGCCCCGUCCCGCCCCGCCGGGCUGGCCGAGGCUGCCGUCUGGUCGCCGUAACUUGAUGCCUGUGACAGUUGGCAGCUGCAGCCCCUUCAGCGGAGAAAAGCGGCGGCCCAGCCAAGAGCGACAGGUGUUGGCCGCGCCUUUGUCUCGGCCCGCUUUGUCCCUCGAGCGGGCGCGGGCGGUGGGUGCGCCUGUGGCCGCCAGACGACCGCCACCCCCAGGCCGGCCGCCCAUCUGCUGGCCCGGCUUCCCCGAGGGUGGGGUGCGUGGUGGGUGGGGCCGCGCCCUGUGGGUCCCUGCCUGGCCGCUGCUGGGUCUCACCACCCCCCAGCAGAGCCAGAAUACCAAUUUGCCUUCUAGCCGCCAGGCCUUUGCACACACGGAUCCUUGCACCUGGAACAGGCUGGGGCCCCCCUUGGGUGGCUCCUUCCUCCCUGUCUAG